CUACGGGGGGCUGCAGUGGGGAAUAUUGCACAAUGGGCGCAAGCCUGAUGCAGCCAUGCCGCGUGUAUGAAGAAGGCCUUCGGGUUGUAAAGUACUUUCAGCGGGGAGGAAGGGAGUAAAGUUAAUACCUUUGCUCAUUGACGUUACCCGCAGAGGAAGCACCGGCUAACUCCGCGCCAGCAGCCGCGGUAAUACGGAGGGUGCAAGCGUUAAUCGGAAUUACUGGGCGUAAAGCGCACGCAGGCGGUUUGUUAAGUCAGAUGUGAAAUCCCCGGGCUCAACCUGGGAACUGCAUCUGAUACUGGCAAGCUUGAGUCUCGUAGAGGGGGGUAGAAUUCCAGGUGUAGCGGUGAGAUGCGUAGAGAUCUGGAGGAAUACCGGUGGCGAAGGCGGCCCCCUGGACGAAGACUGACGCUCAGGUGCGAAAGCGUGGGGAGCAAACAGGAUUAGAUACCCUCGUAGUC
rnacentral:rRNA from 1 species